rnacentral:rRNA from 1 species
AACGAACGCUGGCGGCAGGCCUAACACAUGCAAGUCGAGCGCGCCCUUCGGGGUGAGCGGCGGACGGGUGAGUAACGCGUGGGAACGUGCCCUUUUCUACGGAAUAGCCUCGGGAAACUGAGAGUAAUACCGUAUACGCCCUUUGGGGGAAAGAUUUAUCGGAAAAGGAUCGGCCCGCGUUGGAUUAGGUAGUUGGUGGGGUAAUGGCCUACCAAGCCGACGAUCCAUAGCUGGUUUGAGAGGAUGAUCAGCCACACUGGGACUGAGACACGGCCCAGACUCCUACGGGAGGCAGCAGUGGGGAAUCUUAGACAAUGGGGGCAACCCUGAUCUAGCCAUGCCGCGUGAGUGAUGAAGGCCUUAGGGUUGUAAAGCUCCUUCAGCUGGGAAGAUAAUGACGGUACCAGCAGAAGAAGCCCCGGCUAACUCCGUG